rnacentral:lncRNA from 1 species
CUCCCUCUUCCUACUCACUCAUUCAUCCUCAGUCCUCACUACACUCCUAAUUCGAAGUGAGAACUUGCUGAGUUUCUCUCCACAAACAAAGCCGCCAUUAAAACUCUUUAUCCAAAAGAUCUAAACAAGCUACACGUUAUUAACAAUGCCUUGUUCCACCAUGGGAGUUGUAACUUUGCUCUCAAAAUGCACCAUCUUCCCUUCCCAAAAAUCUUCUCUCUCUGACCUUAAACUCUCAGUUUCCGACCUUCCUAUGCUUUCUACUCACUACAUUCAGAAAGGUGGUCUUUUCACUCGUCCUCCUUUCUCCAUCACCGACCUCCUUUCCCUCCUCAAACGCAGCCUUUCUCAAACUCUUACUCAAUUUCCUCCCCUGGCUGGUCGCCUUGUCACUGACUCUGACGGCUACGUUUACAUUUCUUGCAAUGAUGCUGGCGCUGAUUUCAUUCACGCCGCCGCUACUCACAUUUUUGUCCGUGACGUCAUUGGUUCCAUUGACGUCCCCGACCAUGUCAAGGAGUUCUUCACUUUUGACAGAACUGUGAGCUAUCAAGGCCAUAUCAAUCCUCUUCUUGCUGUCCAAGUUACGGAGUUAGCCGACGGUGUCUUUAUUGGUUGCUCCGUCAACCACGCCGUUAUCGAUGGAACAUCGUUAUGGAACUUCUUCAAUACAUUCGCUGAAUUGACUAGGGGAGUGAAGAGGAUUACGAGGCAACCGGACUUUAGCCGUGACUCUGUUUUGAUAUCUCCGGCUGUGCUUAAAAUUCCGGCUGGUGGGCCCAAGGUUACCUUCUCUUUGGACGCACCCUUGAGGGAAAGGAUAUUUAGUUUCAGCAGGGAAUCAAUUCUAAGGCUGAAAGAUAAGACUAACAACAAUCACAAAUGGAAUGUGGACGGAGAAAUUGACAUCGCUG